AAAAAAGGAAAUGGAGACGAAGAAGAAGAUGACAGAAGCUCGUCUUCCUCCGGUAUCGCCCUCACGAUCUUUCUUCUCUCCCAACCUUACACUUCUCUCUCAAGCGCGCUCCUAACCCUCAAUCUCACUCAAACGCUCUCUCAGCUCACAAUCUCAAAGAAACAUUCUCUCUCAACUCUCACAAAUAUUUUCAAACAACAAGCAUAUGAGAAGGAUAAAGAGAAAGAAAGAGAGGUCCUU
rnacentral:lncRNA from 1 species